GCUUAACACAUGCAAGUCGAAUGCGAAAGGCCCUUUUGGGGGAGGAGUAGCAUGGCAGACGGGUGAGGAGCGCGUACCUGACCGGACGCAGGCAGGGGGAUAGUCCUUCGAAAGAGGGUUGAAUACCGCAUGUGCUCAUCGUGGGGGAACUGCGGUGAGGAAAGUUGGCCUCUGCAUGCACGCUGAUGGCCUGCGACGGGGGUGCGUCCUAUUAGCUAGCUGGUGGGGUGAGAGCCUACCAGGGCGACGAUGGGUAGCUGGUCUGAGAGGAUGAUCAGCCACACUGGGACUGCGACACGGCCCAGACUCCUACGGGAGGCAGCAGUGGGGAAUUUUGCCCAAUGGGCGCAAGCCUGAGGCAGCAACGCCGCGUGAGUGACGACGCCUUUCGGGGUGUAAAGCUCUGUCGAGCGGGACGAAGGCUGCAGGGGUGAAGAGCCUGUCAGGAUGACGGUACCGNUGGAGGAAGCCCCGGCUAACUCCGUGCCAGCAGCCGCGGUAAGACGGAGGGGGCAGCGUGGUUCGGAAUUACUGGGCGUAA
rnacentral:rRNA from 1 species